rnacentral:rRNA from 1 species
GUCCACGCCGUAAACGAUGGGUGCUAGACGUUGGCGAGCUUGCUCGUCAGUGUCGCAGCUAACGCGUUAAGCACCCCGCCUGGGGAGUACGGCCGCAAGGUUGAAACUCAAAGGAAUUGACGGGGGCCCGCACAAGCGGUGGAGCAUGUGGUUCAAUUCGACGCAACGCGAAGAACCUUACCAGCCCUUGACUUGUGGCUCGCCGGCUCCAGAGACUGAGCCUUCGGUUCGGCCGGAGCCAACACAGGUGCUGCAUGGCUGUCGU